UGCCAGCCGCCGCGGUAAUACGGAGGGUGCAAGCGUUAAUCGGAAUUACUGGGCGUAAAGCGCACGCAGGCGGUCUGUCAAGUCGGAUGUGAAAUCCCCGGGCUCAACCUGGGAACUGCAUUCGAAACUGGCAGGCUAGAGUCUUGUAGAGGGGGGUAGAAUUCCAGGUGUAGCGGUGAAAUGCGUAGAGAUCUGGAGGAAUACCGGUGGCGAAGGCGGCCCCCUGGACAAAGACUGACGCUCAGGUGCGAAAGCGUGGGGAGCAAACAGGAUUAGAUACCCUGGUAGUCCACGCCGUAAACGAUGUCGACUUGGAGGUUGUGCCCUUGAGGCGUGGCUUCCGGAGCUAACGCGUUAAGUCGACCGCCUGGGGAGUACGGCCGCAAGGUUAAAACUCAAAUGAAUUGACGGGGGCCCGCACAAGCGGUGGAGCAUGUGGUUUAAUUCGAUGCAACGCGAAGAACCUUACCUACUCUUGACAUCCAGAGAACUUAGCAGAGAUGCUUUGGUGCCUUCGGGAACUCUGAGACAGGUGCUGCAUGGCUGUCGUCAGCUCGUGUUGUGAAAUGUUGGGUUAAGUCCCGCAACGAGCGCAACCCUUAUC
rnacentral:rRNA from 1 species